rnacentral:rRNA from 1 species
CUCGUAGGCGGUUCGUCGCGUCCGGUGUGAAAGUCCGUCGCUUAACGGUGGAUCCGCGCCGGGUACGGGCGGGCUUGAGUGCGGUAGGGGAGACUGGAGUUCUCGGUGUAACGGUGGAAUGUGUAGAUAUCGGGAAGAACACCAAUGGCGAAGGCAGGUCUCUGGGCCGUCACUGACGCUGAGGAGCGAAAGCGUGGGGAGCGAAACA